CCCUUCAAGAAAAGAUGUGCUGUCCAACUGUGAGGAGUGUGGUUGUCCAAUAGCCUCUAGUGGUGUCAAUUCCCAAUGACUCUAGUGUAGUCCUAACUGUCUCAGUGUCUGCCUCCUGGAGAACCUCAGCUGUGACACACCCCUUUUGAGCGAGCCAUGUUUUUCCUUCUGGAACCUGAAUGGGAAUCAGACGUUUGCUGUGAAAGCAGCCCACCAGGGCAACUGCGGUCUUCUGAAGGGUCCAGACUCAAGCCAGAUUCGGC